rnacentral:rRNA from 1 species
GAAUGCUGACAUAAGUAACGAUAAAGCGGGUGAAAAGCCCGCUCGCCGGAAGACCAAGGGUUCCUGUCCAACGUUAAUCGGGGCAGGGUGAGUCGACCCCUAAGGCGAGGCCGAAAGGCGUAGUCGAUGGGAAACGGGUUAAUAUUCCCGUACUUGGUGUUACUGCGAAGGGGGGACGGAGAAGGCUAUGUUGGCCGGGCGACGGUUGUCCCGGUUUAAGCGUGUAGGUGUGUGUUCCAGGUAAAUCCGGUUCACUUUAACACUGAGGCGUGACGACGAGGCACUACGGUGCUGAAGCAACAAAUGCCCUGCUUCCAGGAAAAGCCUCUAAGCAUCAGGUAACAUCAAAUCGUACCCCAAACCGACACAGGUGGUCAGGUAGAGAAUACCAAGGCGCUUGAGAGAACUCGGGUGAAGGAACUAGGCAAAAUGGUGCCGUAACUUCGGGAGAAGGCACGCUGACACGUAGGUGAAGUGAUUUACUCAUGGAGCUGAAGUCAGUCGAAGAUACCAGCUGGCUGCAACUGUUUAUUAAAAACACAGCACUGUGCAAACACGAAAGUGGACGUAUACGGUGUGACGCCUGCCCGGUGCCGGAAGGUUAAUUGAUGGGGUCAGCGCAAGCGAAGCUCCUGAUCGAAGCCCCGGUAAACGGCGGCCGUAACUAUAACGGUCCUAAGGUAGCGAAAUUCCUUGUCGGGUAAGUUCCGACCUGCACGAAUGGCGUAAUGAUGGCCAGGCUGUCUCCACCCGAGACUCAGUGAAAUUGAACUCGCUGUGAAGAUGCAGUGUACCCGCGGCAAGACGGAAAGACCCCGUGAACCUUUACUAUAGCUUGACACUGAACAUUGAGCCUUGAUGUGUAGGAUAGGUGGGAGGCUUUGAAGCGUGGACGCCAGUCUGCGUGGAGCCGACCUUGAAAUACCACCCUUUAAUGUUUGAUGUUCUAACGUGGACCCGUGAUCCGGGUUGCGGACAGUGUCUGGUGGGUAGUUUGACUGGGGCGGUCUCCUCCUAAAGAGUAACGGAGGAGCACGAAGGUUGGCUAAUCCUGGUCGGACAUCAGGAGGUUAGUGCAAUGGCAUAAGCCAGCUUGACUGCGAGCGUGACGGCGCGAGCAGGUGCGAAAGCAGGUCAUAGUGAUCCGGUGGUUCUGAAUGGAAGGGCCAUCGCUCAACGGAUAAAAGGUACUCCGGGGAUAACAGGCUGAUACCGCCCAAGAGUUCAUAUCGACGGCGGUGUUUGGCACCUCGAUGUCGGCUCAUCACAUCCUGGGGCUGAAGUAGGUCCCAAGGGUAUGGCUGUUCGCCAUUUAAAGUGGUACGCGAGCUGGGUUUAGAACGUCGUGAGACAGUUCGGUCCCUAUCUGCCGUGGGCGCUGGAGAACUGAGGGGGGCUGCUCCUAGUACGAGAGGACCGGAGUGGACGCAUCACUGGUGUUCGGGUUGUCAUGCCAAUGGCACUGCCCGGUAGCUAAAUGCGGAAGAGAUAAGUGCUGAAAGCAUCUAAGCACGAAACUUGCCCCGAGAUGAGUUCUCCCUGAGACUUAAAGUCUCCUGAAGGAACGUUGAAGACGACGACGUUGAUAGGCCGGGUGUGUAAGCGCAGCGAUGCGUUGAGCUAACCGGUACUAAUGAACCGUGAGGCUUAACCUUACAAC